GUCUAAGUUGCCUCGGAUAAUGAAGUUUCCAAAAUUUCCGUUUGGUGUUCCCCGAUGAAAAUGCUUGUUCACCAAGAGUCAGAGAUAAUAAAAUAUUUCAGCAAGUCUGUAAGAAGUGGGACACUAUUUCCACGUUCCAGGAAUGUAAGUGGACCAUGAAGUUUUGAAAGAAGUGUGAGAGGGUAUUGUAGGAGGCCAGGAAGUGAAUGGUGAAUGUAUAUACCCAGCUGGUAUGGGACUGUGCAGAUCUGAAGACUUAUCCAUGAAUCAUGGAAUCACAGAUGUUUGGAGCAGGAAGGAAAUUUAGAAACCAACUAAUAUGAAGCAUCCGUCUACUGUAAUAUCAACAUGAGUCAACUUUCUAAGAAUUGUCAAAUCUGGAGCUUGACAACAUUAAGUCUGUGGACCAAUGGAAAAUAUUAACAAUUCACACAAAAAAUAUGUGUUGGUCGCCUAAUGUCUAUGAAGUACUGGGGACAAAAGAUGAUGAGAGAAAAUAUUCAAGGGAAGUUGAUAAUUUGCAUCCUUAUAUUACUGCCUCAUGUUUAGAUUCCUUCCAAAAAUUAGAAUCUGUUCAACAAUUAAAACUAUGCUGA
rnacentral:lncRNA from 1 species